rnacentral:tRNA from 1 species
CGGGGUAUAGCUUAGUCCGGUUAAAGCGCACGGCUGGGGGUCGUGAGAGCGGUAGUUCGAAUCUACUUGCCCCGA